rnacentral:rRNA from 1 species
GAGGCACUGCCUGCCCAGUGACUAUACGUUAAACGGCCGCGGUAUCCUGACCGUGCAAAGGUWGCAUAAUCAUUUGUUCUCUAAAUAAGGACUUGUAUGAAUGGCAACACGAGAGUUUUACUGUCUCUUACUUCCAAUCAGUGAAAUUGACUUCCCCGUGAAGAGGCGGGGAUAUACUAACAAGACGAGAAGACCCUAUGGAGCUUUAACUAACUAACCCAAAGAAAACAUUCUCAACCGUCAAGGGAUAAUAAUACUCUUUAUGGGCUAGCAGUUUUGGUUGGGGCGACCUCGGAGAACAAAAAAUCCUCCGAGCGAUUUUAAAGACUAGACCUACAAGUCAAACCAAAUUAUCGCUUAUUGAUCCAAAAAUUUGAUCAACGGAACAAGUUACCCUAGGGAUAACAGCGCAAUCCUAUUCAAGAGUCCAUAUCGACAAUAGGGUUUACGACCUCGAUGUUGGAUCAGGACACCCCGAUGGUGCAACCGCUAUCAAAGGUUCGUUUGUUCAACGAUUAAAGUCCUACGUGAUCUGAGU